rnacentral:rRNA from 1 species
UACGGAGGGUGCUAGCGUUGUUCGGAAUUACUGGGCGUAAAGCGCGUGUAGGCGGGAUGGCAAGUCGGGUGUGAAAGCCCUCAGCUUAACUGAGGAAGUGCGCCCGAAACUACUGUUCUUGAGUGCCGGAGAGGGUGGCGGAAUUCCCGGUGUAGAGGUGAAAUUCGUAGAUAUCGGGAGGAACACCAGUGGCGAAGGCGGCCACCUGGACGGACACUGACGCUGAGACGCGAAAGCGUGGGGAGCAAACAGG